rnacentral:rRNA from 1 species
GACGAACCGUGCGAACGUUGUUCGGAAUCACUGGGCUUAAAGGGCGCGUAGGCGGGUUGCCAAGUCUGGGGUGAAAUCCUCCGGCUCAACCGGAGAACGGCCUCGGAUACUGGCGGUCUCGAGGGAGGUAGGGGCGUGCGGAACUAAGGGUGGAGCGGUGAAAUGCGUUGAUAUCCUUAGGAACUCCGGUGGCGAAGGCGGCACGCUGGACCGCUUCUGACGCUGAGGCGCGAAAGCCAGGGGAGCAAACGGG